rnacentral:rRNA from 2 species
CUACGGGGAGCAGCAGUAGGGAAUCUUCCACAAUGGACGCAAGUCUGAUGGAGCAACGCCGCGUGAGUGAAGAAGGCUUUCGGGUCGUAAAACUCUGUUGUUGGAGAAGAAUGGUCGGCAGAGUAACUGUUGUCGGCGUGACGGUAUCCAACCAGAAAGCCACGGCUAACUACGUGCCAGCAGCCGCGGUAAUACGUAGGUGGCAAGCGUUAUCCGGAUUUAUUGGGCGUAAAGCGAGCGCAGGCGGUUUUUUAAGUCUGAUGUGAAAGCCCUCGGCUUAACCGAGGAAGUGCAUCGGAAACUGGGAAACUUGAGUGCAGAAGAGGACAGUGGAACUCCAUGUGUAGCGGUGAAAUGCGUAGAUAUAUGGAAGAACACCAGUGGCGAAGGCGGCUGUCUGGUCUGUAACUGACGCUGAGGCUCGAAAGCAUGGGUAGCGAACAGGAUUAGAUACCCUGGGUAGU